GAAGAGGGAAACAACCCAGACCGCCAGCUAAGGUCCCAAAGUCAUGGUUAAGUGGGAAACGAUGUGGGAAGGCCCAGACAGCCAGGAUGUUGGCUUAGAAGCAGCCAUCAUUUAAAGAAAGCGUAAUAGCUCACUGGUCGAGUCGGCCUGCGCGGAAGAUGUAACGGGGCUAAACCAUGCACCGAAGCUGCGGCAGCGACACCGUGUGUUGUUGGGUAGGGGAGCGUUCUGUAAGCCUGUGAAGGUGUGCUGUGAGGCAUGCUGGAGGUAUCAGAAGUGCGAAUGCUGACAUAAGUAACGAUAAAGCGGGUGAAAAGCCCGCUCGCCGGAAGACCAAGGGUUCCUGUCCAACGUUAAUCGGGGCAGGGUGAGUCGACCCCUAAGGCGAGGCCGAAAGGCGUAGUCGAUGGGAAACGGGUUAAUAUUCCCGUACUUGGUGUUACUGCGAAGGGGGGACGGAGAAGGCUAUGUUGGCCGGGCGACGGUUGUCCCGGUUUAAGCGUGUAGGUAUGUGUUCCAGGUAAAUCCGGUUCACUUUAACACUGAGGCGUGACGACGAGGCACUACGGUGCUGAAGCAACAAAUGCCCUGCUUCCAGGAAAAGCCUCUAAGCAUCAGGUAACAUCAAAUCGUACCCCAAACCGACACAGGUGGUCAGGUAGAGAAUACCAAGGCGCUUGAGAGAACUCGGGUGAAGGAACUAGGCAAAAUGGUGCCGUAACUUCGGGAGAAGGCACGCUGACACGUAGGUGAAGUGAUUUACUCACGGAGCUGAAGUCAGCCGAAGAUACCAGCUGGCUGCAACUGUUUAUUAAAAACACAGCACUGUGCAAACACGAAAGUGGACGUAUACGGUGUGACGCCUGCCCGGUGCCGGAAGGUUAAUUGAUGGGGUCAGCGCAAGCGAAGCUCCUGAUCGAAGCCCCGGUAAACGGCGGCCGUAACUAUAACGGUCCUAAGGUAGCGAAAUUCCUUGUCGGGUAAGUUCCGACCUGCACGAAUGGCGUAAUGAUGGCCAGGCUGUCUCCACCCGAGACUCAGUGAAAUUGAACUCGCUGUGAAGAUGCAGUGUACCCGCGGCAAGACGGAAAGACCCCGUGAACCUUUACUAUAGCUUGACACUGAACAUUGAGCCUUGAUGUGUAGGAUAGGUGGGAGGCUUUGAAGUGUGGACGCCAGUCUGCAUGGAGCCGACCUUGAAAUACCACCCUUUAAUGUUUGAUGUUCUAACGUGGACCCGUGAUCCGGGUUGCGGACAGUGUCUGGUGGGUAGUUUGACUGGGGCGGUCUCCUCCUAAAGAGUAACGGAGGAGCACGAAGGUUGGCUAAUCCUGGUCGGACAUCAGGAGGUUAGUGCAAUGGCAUAAGCCAGCUUGACUGCGAGCGUGACGGCGCGAGCAGGUGCGAAAGCAGGUCAUAGUGAUCCGGUGGUUCUGAAUGGAAGGGCCAUCGCUCAACGGAUAAAAGGUACUCCGGGGAUAACAGGCUGAUACCGCCCAAGAGUUCAUAUCGACGGCGGUGUUUGGCACCUCGAUGUCGGCUCAUCACAUCCUGGGGCUGAAGUAGGUCCCAAGGGUAUGGCUGUUCGCCAUUUAAAGUGGUACGCGAGCUGGGUUUAGAACGUCGUGAGACAGUUCGGUCCCUAUCUGCCGUGGGCGCUGGAGAACUGAGGGGGGCUGCUCCUAGUACGAGAGGACCGGAGUGGACGCAUCACUGGUGUUCGGGUUGUCAUGCCAAUGGCACUGCCCGGUAGCUAAAUGCGGAAGAGAUAAGUGCUGAAAGCAUCUAAGCACGAAACUUGCCCCGAGAUGAGUUCUCCCUGAGACUUUAGGUCUCCUGAAGGAACGUUGAAGACGACGACGUUGAUAGGCCGGGUGUGUAAGCGCAGCGAUGCGUUGAGCUAACCGGUACUAAUGAACCGUGAGGCUUAACCUUACAACGCCGAAG
rnacentral:rRNA from 3 species